GCAGAACUGCCUGAGGAAAUCGUUCCUCCACGUGCAAAUUAAUUUUGGUAUUUUUGGUUAUCCUUCCACCUUAUCAUUCGUAGUAUUAAGACAUAUGACGUAAAUAAUUUUACAGAUAAGCUAUAAAACGAACUUAGCAUGCCGUUAGACUGCGAAAACAAAUGUGGGAACAAGGCUUCUAUGAAGCGCCCAAAAACUGGCCAUGCUCUUUGUCAACCUUGCUUCUUUGCCGCAUUUGAAGCUGAAGUACAUGAAACUAUUGUGAAAGGAGACCUUUUCAAGCCGGGCGAUUCUGUCGCAAUUGGAGCAUCGGGUGGGAAAGAUUCGACCGUUUUGGCAUAUAUUCUAAAGCUGCUGAAUGAAAGACACAAUUAUGGACUUCAACUUGUCUUGUUGUCCGUGGAUGAAGGAAUUACAGGAUAUCGUGACGACAGUUUGGAAACGGUGAAACGUAACGAGCUCGAGUAUGGGUUACCUUUGACAAUUCUCUCCUACAAAGAUUUGUACGGGUGGACGAUGGACGAAAUUGUGAGAGAGGUUGGAAAGAAGAAUAAUUGCACAUUUUGUGGCGUCUUUCGUCGCCAAGCUUUAGAUCGUGGAGCAGUUUUACUCGGAGCUAAUAAAAUUGUGACUGGACAUAAUGCAGAUGACGUGGCGGAGACGAUUUUUAUGAAUUUACUUCGUGGUGAUGUAGCUCGAUUGCAAAGAUGUACGGCUAUCACUACUGGUGCUGAAGGUACUCUACCACGCUGCAAGCCGUUUAAAUACACUUACGAAAAGGAAAUUGUGAUGUACGCCUAUUUCAAAAAGCUAGACUAUUUUUCCACCGAGUGUAUCUAUUCACCUAAUGCGUAUCGAGGCCAUGUUCGAACAUUCAUUAAAGAUUUGGAGAGGGUUCGACCCCGUGUGAUUAUCGACAUAAUUUUUUCAGGGGAACAACUCUCGGUUCGAGAAGGAAUCAAAAUGCCAAAACAAGGAAUAUGUGAGCGAUGCAAGUACAUCUCGUCAAUGCGGAUUUGUAAAGCCUGUGUCAUGCUAGAGGGACUGAACAAGGGGCUUCCAAAAUUAGGAAUUGGAAAAAGUUCAAAGGUGAAGGGGCAAAUGAAAAUCCUCGAAGGCAAGGACGAGAUUUGCAGGAGUGAUGGUGGGGCCAAGAGUGGUUGUGCCAGUCAGAGGGAGGGAAAGCAGGUCUGCUGUGGUCGUGGAGGGGGAUGUUCGAAGGAGGAAAAAGUUGAUGAUCCUGUCCAAGAUACAGAGCCUAAAGUCAAGCAAGGGAAACAACGAUCCCUCAAAAAGCGGAGGCAAGCAAGGGAGAGAAUAAAUGCCACAGGAAAUAUACCUAACCUGCCAAAACAGGAUGAACAUGUGAACGGAGAUAGCACCGCCACUCGACUUAAUGACUAUGAUAAUGCAUCACACCUUGAGGACGACGACGGAUUACAUGACUUUUUCGGCUGUGGUGGUUUCGCCACGUCGUCCAAUGAUAACAAUGAUUUAAUAUCCGGACCACUCCCAGAUGACGAAGUGGGAACAAUUCGCUCCAAGAUGGAACAACAGAAUCAUCACCAAGUAGACAUUGAUAUCGAAAAUUUGGGUCAACUAGCCGCCACCAUGUUGCACAUGGGAAUUGUCGGUGGUAGUACUCGUCCUAAAUAGUUACAUCUACUGACCCACCAAUUUAUUUUACUCGUCGUGGGAUUACAUGACUUUAUAUGAUAACCAACCCCACUAAUUGAGCCAAUUUAACCACUUCAACCUUUUCUGUCGUGGUAUGGUAUUUAAUCUUUGCAUAACGAAUCAACAGAAUUUCUGACGCAUGAACCUAACUUACUACAGAUAAACUUCUCCGUACGUAUUGUUGUUUUUGUGUCCACUCUCAAGUCAAGAGUCCACUCACCAAAUCCCAUAUUCAAAUGAGAAAUGAGCAAGAUAUUAGAUGAGAGAGGGGUGAGUCAUAAAUGAUGUCGUCGGAAAAGAGGGUUACCUGUCCGAGUGAUUGACGACAACUCCAUUUCGCCCACAUGUUGAGAUGAGUGGUCUAAAAUAUGAAAAACAUGACAUCAUUUAUGUACCUCCUUGCCCUCACUUUGGCAACAUGGCGUUUGACCAAACACGAGCUAUCUUCAUGCAUGUUCUGCCAUAUUCCAUCAUACGACAAAAUAUAUCUUGGAAUAGACUGUUUCUUUCGCGAGGAUGCUUUUUGGACGUGGGAAAACAACUUUUGAACACUCAUCCAUGCCCACUCUCGUUCUGUUUUUCUCUCCUCUUGUUUACUCAAGUCGAAUAAUUAUACUGGAGAAUUAAUUAUAAAUUAUAACAAAUGUUCCAAAUAAUUAAUAAACUUCAACCUUCCUUCUUUAA